rnacentral:lncRNA from 1 species
GGGGGGGGGGGGGGGGGGUGAUAAUAAAUAGAUGCUGCAAACCUAGAGAAAAAUAUGCUGCAGAAAACAUUCGAACACCCCCCUUGGUAAUCCAACGUUUACUUUUCUACUACCACAAUUUGAAAUUGAAUAUUCUCAAUUUGGACCUAAUUGACAACUUUGGGGGCAUGAUCCAUAGAACUUCUUCACAACCAAUUGCAUAAACGCACAGAGAACAUCUCAUAUAACACAGCAUACACAGAAUUCCGAGCCACAUGAGAGAAAGGGAGAAACCUUUAACAAUGAUAUUCCUUGAAUCUAAAUAACCUUGGGCAGUUUGCAAAAUGUAUGGCACAUUUACAAGAGAUUUACAAACCUUUCAACUCUAAGUUCAACCAAUAAUGAGGUGCUCUGACCUCCCCUGUCCAGUAAUCUGCACUGCAGAACAAGAUGCCGAAGUAUGUUUUGUAGAAAAGAAACUCUGUUUGCAAGGCUGCUCAUUCGCUCAAUAAGUUUCACUUCGCAAAUCGCAGUGUCCACUCUGCAGCUAGUUCAUCAUGUUUUGCUCUAUCUGCCAAGUACAAGUGGGCAAUGCCAGGGACAAGAGGAUUGUCUGCAGUGAGGAGAACACCCAAACGUUAGUAAAACAUCAGAAUAUUUAAUAUGAAGGUGGUCUCUGGGAUGCCAAACAUAAAUAGCCAAAAGGGUUUUCACAUAGUUUUUACUGUACAUAUAAAACCUGAAAACUUGGUUUUCCGUUGGGUGUUCAUCACAGUGUAAUUGAAAUCGGAAAGUGAAGACUUUCAACAAGAAUAUGCCCCACGAAAUUUUUUUCCUUGACAAAAAGGUAUGACCGUGGUUUCACAAGAUUAUAUAAAAUGUUCCCCAUUGCCAACCAACAAAACUCCUAUGGUCAUCAAAAUUGAACAAAGAAAUACAUAUUUGUCAGAAAUAAUAUGGAAGUAAAAAUCAACCAGCCUGCAACUAAAAUAGCAGUCAUUGUAAAGGCCAGAACCCAAAUAUCUGCCACGAAACCCGAGCUAAAGGAAAAAAAAAAGAAUUUAUAGAAUAUUAAGAAGGCAAGAAAAAUUACAGGGAUCAGGGUGAGUGAAAAUCGAUCUGAUUGCAAGUAGCACUUUAGUAAUUGUAAGAGCUGGACUCCAACUAUCCUUCAGGAUGUCCAAACUAAGGUUGCCGGCAGAAUCAACAUUGCAAUGGUAGAUACGAGUCUUGAACACUACCUGUAAAAUAAUCUUAUAAGUAAAAGAACGAACAUAGAAAGUGGAGCAUCAAAACACCUUACUCCUUUCACCAUCACCAAAAAUAUGCUUUCAUGCAGUUGUGCUUAUAUUCAAUCUUCCUUGAUAUGGCUCAGAGUCAACUAAUGAUGGAAUGGUUGGAAAUGUACAAGUUAGCAGUCAAAGGUCCUAAAAUCUAAUACGAUAAUUCAUUAUAUUAUUAACAACACCUUGGCAAUGUCACGACUAUAUUUGAUGCGUAAAACAUUAUGUUAGAUCCAUGGAUGUAAACUAUACACAAAGGUUCAUUGAACUGCUAUAAUUACAUUUCAGAAAAGGAGUUCCUUUUAAUUCUUAAAUGUUCCAUCUUCAUGAGUUAUCCUCGAUUCUCUCACUUGCUGUCUUCUGAUGUAACUAGAAAUGCAGGCCAUCAACAGAAUAAUUAUCACAGAAGAGCGCACAUAAGAUCUAGGACUGCUAUUUUUUGUAAUCCAACUAGGCAUCACAAUGGUGCCACGGCCAACAGGGUCCAACAUCACCUAUUACUUCGGUAGAGUUAGAAAAGGAACCCUUGUGCUCUUGAGCUUCAACAUAAAAUUUUGAAAGAUUUUGACUCCUAUUUCAUUAUAAUCUUUCAAGUAAGCUUACCGAGAAGUAGAUCAACCACAUAAAUCAAUAAUCUCACGUCUAAGAUGAAAAACUCAGCAGAUAUGUAUAUAUGCAUGGCAAUCAACUAAUUGGAUGUAAAUGCACAUACCUUUGGAGGUUUGAAUGGAUAAUCACUUGGAAACGUUAGGUCAAGGAAAAAUAUUCCGCCUUGGUAUGGCGUUCCUACAAAACAUAUGAAGCAUACCAGGAAUGAAACCCUAUAACAUGGAAAAAUAGGCAAAACUGAAAAGAGAACCCCAGUAUGAUGAAGAACAAGCUACCAGUUCCUAGAGGGCUGUUUAAUAAGGAACACGAUCAAAUAAGACCUUCAAUCUUAUAUCAAAUAAGACCUUCAAUCUUAUAUUCUCCAAUUUCAUUGCUAGAACCAAAAGUUGAAACUUAUUUAUAAUCCAAACAAACUACAUCCAAAUUACUAGGAAAAUAAAAAAGACAGUUUGAUCAGUGACAGCUAGCUUUGUCUAAAUUAAGCUCAGCAGCAAUAACGCAUGGAAGUUUCAAAAAGCAUAAUCCUCAAGACAUACUCAGUUAAACUAAAGCUGAGAACUUUAUAAAGAUUAACAAAAAACAAGAAAAGCAACAAGAACCCAUUACUCACAAAGACAAGAAAAGUAGUGUGAAGUAGAGGAAAUAACCUGGAGGCCCGAUGACGGUGGAGAUCCAAUGGUAAAGAUUAUCACCUUUGGGUCCAGCAGAGCAAUCAGGAGGUGGGUCCAUGUUAAGUUCAGUCAUUUCUCGUUGUAUUCUUUUCCCUGAUGUUGAAACUGAUGAUGGUGAUACCCAAGAACUUGUUGCUGUUGCUGAUGAUCCUCCACCUCCUGCCAUUGAGAUGCCUCCUUGGCUAUUCAUUUAACCACAAGAAACCUGACACUUCACAGAGGGGGGUGUAGGGAUGGAGAAGCAGUGCAGAGGAUUUUGUGAGGUGAUGAAUAACCCGACAGGUCGUUAAUUGGUUACCUUGCUAUUCAUUUAACCAUAAGAGCAUCUACAAUGGAAGACCAAAAGAAGAGCCAAUUUUUUUUUAUAUUAAUUUUGUAACUCUAAUAGAAUAAUUAAGUAAAAAACUAAAAUGAUUUUUUUAAAAACAAAUUCAUUUCUAUAUAUUUAUAAAAAAAUCAAAAUAUUAAAAUAAAUUAUUUAAAAAAAUUAUUAAUUGAAUUUUUUUAAUAGUUCUUUCUUUAAAAAAAUUAUUAAUAUUAAAUAUAUUAAAAUAAAAAUAAAUUAUUAAAAUAAUUUUUUUAUUGAAAUGCAUAUAAAAAACCAUAUUUACAUUUUUUUUAAAAAAAUCAUUUGACUUAACUUUCAUGAUUGGAGAUGCCCUAGGAAACCUCAAACUUCAUAGGGAGGUAAUGGAUAGCCGACAAGUCGUUAAUUGUGACCAAAAUGGGAUUUGCAGCCGACCAGUAGGUUGAUAAGGGAAAGGUGUAUAGGAAACGGAAGCAAAUAUUAGAGUAUAAUUUUAGUUUUAUUUAGAUAAAUAUGUUUUUACAUUCAUACAUUUUUAAAAAUUUAAUUCAUUGUUUCAAAUUAAAAAUUAUUAUUUUUACCAAUUUAACGCAUCAUGUGGCUACUUUGCUUUAGAGAAAAGAUAAUGCUAACUUCAUGAAUUAAUGAAGUGAAAAUAAUAUUAUUCUAGGAAAAUUAAUACAUUCAAUAAUGAAAUAACUGAUAAGAGCAAAAUGGAAUACAUUUUUUUAUUGAAACAACUUUGAGACAUUUGUCAAAUUUUGCGUUUUGUCUACAAGAAUAUUUAACUAGAAACAUUAACUGUGUUCGGUAACGUAAUACUGUUAUAUAUAUAUAUAUAUAUGUGUGUGUGUGUAUUAAAUGAGAAGUGUAGUAAUAAUUAUUUUUUAAAAUAUUUUUUUAUAAAUAUAUUAAAAAAAAAUUAUGUUCCAUAUUAGUAUAUAAAAAUAAUCUUAAAACAUUAGAAAAAAAUUAAUUUAAAGAAAAAACAUUUUUAAAAAAAAAUUAAUUUUUUUCAAAUGUAAAAAUAAACAGGCUAAAAUCUGAUACAUAGAAGGCCUAAUCCUAAAUUGUUUUUGGAGAGUCAACUUUUAUUACAACAAAACAACCCUUCAAAAUGAUUUGACAAUGUCUAUGGACAACAAAUCGUCAUCAAAUCAAUCUGGAAUGUAAGGAGAAUUCUUUAUGCUUUUUGGCGGUUUGCUUGUGAAUCAAGGCAACAACGGUUUGCAUUAAAUUUUGGCGACUCCAUAAACUGGAGAAUUUAUCAAGGCCAGUAGGGUAACAUUGAUUCACAACAAGCUGUCUACAGUAAUAUCACAAGAGGCACAGGCCAUAGCAGCAGUUAAAUCUUGCAAGACAUGAAGUAUUUCAAGAUGCCGACAACAGGCUGUCUGAACUUGAUAUACAGAAACAGUACAAAACAUGGUGAUAGUUAAUUCUUCGAAGACACCUCCGAGCAUUUGAAAACCCGGACGGCAGAAUCACUCUCACAUAUCCCGAUCCUGCAUGUCCUUCACGGCUUUCUCAAUUGCUGGUAUAUUCUUCCUCAAGGUCGACCAUUGUUCCUCGUUUAAGCUUAUUCCUGAGAGGAGAGAACAAGAAAGGGUUAAGCAAAACCUUCAUAUAUUAGCAGCAUGAAACACAACUGGGCUUAAUGCUUUAAAGAAACAAAAUAGUUAUUCAACAUGGCCUGACUUACACAUGUCCAAGCAUGUGUGCACAGAAAAAAAGAGCCUAAUGACCAUAAUCCAAUAAGGCAGAAUAUCCAAAGGCUUUAUUGUAACAGAGUCUUCAACAAAAUUUGUCAAUUUUGUCACACAUUUUAUCUUAGAUGCAGGACUUUGAAUGAAUAUGAGCUGUGUUUCCAACAGAAAUCCUUUUCAAUACACACAAAUGAUAAAACUGACUCUUAGAUAAAAAGCCAAAAACCUUGCACGGAUUCCAGUAAACACUCAUAAUGCAUAGUUGUACUCUUGGAUUCUUCUUCCUUUUAUUCUGAAAUACGCAUAUUAUCAAGUCCACAAGGUUUUAUUUCAAUGUCAUUCCCAUAUUUUCUGAAUUGCCUCUAUGUUUGAUGAACAUGAAAAGAAAAGUAAUCUCCUGAAGAUUGGACUUGGUGAAACUAUAGCUUCCAGGCAAAUCACGCUGCAUUGAGUAACUGCCCUAAAGCAGGAUGCAGGACACUUCACUACACUGCAUUGAGUAACUGCCUUAAAGCAGGCUGCAGGACACUUCACUACACCGAAAUCAAAAUCUAAGCAUACCCAAAUCCCUUAGGUUUCCAACGUAAAUCAUAGAACUGUAUGAGCCAUCAUACAAAACCACACAAAUGGAAUGACCACAAGCAUCAAACAUUAAUCUAACACCAGAAGAUCCGUUGAGAGAAAAUCACACAAAGAUAAAAGAUAUUGAGUCAAGAUGCCCAAAAUCAGAUUGCUCAAGUGAUAAAACAAGAUUUGAAAUUGACUACCGCACAACUCAACCAGAUAAAAUGGCUGCCCCUCACAAAAUUAACCGAAUAAUCCUUUAAGCAGAAGGAUUGAAAAACCAAACAUCCAUAACCAACAUCUUAAUUUAUAACUUCUCUCAGCCUAUACAAUUAUACACCACUGAUUAAUCUACCAAACUCGGAGAAUCAGACAGUCGUGACUAUGAUGAUCGUCAAAAAACUUCAAUUUAACUAGAAAAAAAAUCCUCCAAACCCACAACUUGAGUUACAAACCAAUCUUAUUUUGCAUCAAUACAAGAAACCCACAUAGAAAAACACAAAACUAAACAAAAUAAUAGAAAAAAACCAAAGCAGCAUAUAACAUUUUGAAAAAAAAAAAUUCCACAAUUUAAUAAAUAAUCUACCUUUAGUAGUAGGUCUUUCUGCUCCACCGUCAUAGUAAUACUCCCUUAUUGACACCAAAUUUGCUCCUCUGAAAUUCUGUAUUGUCACUUUUCUCUUAGCUGACAACUGUCAAUCAAAAGCAGCAAAAAGAAACAUUCAAUAUUCAUUAACAAACCUAACAUCUCAAAACUAACAUUUCCAAAGCUAAGACCAAAAAGGGGGGAGAAGGGGUUAGGGUUUUGCACUAACCCUGCAAAUGACAAGAUUGCCCUCAUCAUCAUACUCUUGCUCCUGCUUGCCUGUUUCUUCUUCAUCGUCUUCUUGUUUGGCCUUUUGUUCUUCGAGGAAAGAAUUAACGACGUGUCUAACAUAAGUCUUGUACUCAGAUUUAUCAAGGUCAAGGUCAAGCUUGUUGGAUGCUAACCUACGAAUCUGAUGUUCAGUUGUAGUUUCCAUGUCAGAUUCUUCCAAGAUUUCUCGUACUGUUUCUUUGAUUUGCAUUCUGAGUUUGGGUUCCAUGUUUUCUUUCCUUUCUAUUUAGGGUUCUAAGGAUUCUUAUUGUGACACUAAAUGGAAAUAAAAAUCUAAUACAGUGGGAGGGAGGGAGGGAGGGUAGAUAUAGAUUCUCUAACACUAGUGAUUAGGCGUGAUUAUUAGGUGUUAACUGUUUCGUGCUUUCGGUUUUUAACUUGCAUUAUUUGGAAAGUACAAGAUAGUGUUCUUUUCUACCAAAGUUUGGUCAAGUUUUUCUAAAUAUAUACAUGUAUAAAAAAAUAAUUUUAUAAAAAUAAAAAAAAAUUAUAAAACUGAAUCUCCAAUUAAAUAAAUAAUAAACUUAAAAAAAUAAAAUCGAGUAAAUUUUUUAAUUCUAAAUUAAUUUUUCAAACUCGCAACCCAUAAAAUCUUAUAUUCAAGUUCAAUAAAAAAACUUAGUUUCCAACUAUUUUAAUAUUGAAAAUAAAAUUGAAAAACAAAUAUCAAUUUAAAAUUUUUAUCAAAGUAAAGAAAAAAAUAACAAUUAGAAUAUAAGAAAAAAAAUUAAGGGUGAUAAAAUCAUAAAAAAAAUUAAUUUAAAAAAUUAUCAUACAUAAAACAAAUAAUAUAAAAAAAAUCAAAUUUGACAGAUAAAAAAAAUAAAAUUUUAAAAAAAAUUAUUUUAUAGAUUAUUUUAAAUAAAAUAAAUAAUAGUCAAAACAACAUGAAUAAAAUCCAAAGAAAAACUAAAUCCAAUGAUUGCUUUGAAAUUUUGAAGGGUAUAACAUAGAAAAAAAGAGAGAAAAAAAAAAAGGUUAUAAGCAUCAAAAUAAAAAUCUGUUGACCACAUGCUCCUCUUAAAGAUGAAAGACCUGCAUCGAUGAUUCGAAUUUACUUUAAAAAUUAUUAUUUGGUCGCCGAAUACCCCUCAUACUUCACUUUAAGGAUGAAGUCGAAACCUACACGUUAACACUUGCAAUGUACAAAUCAACUACCUUUUCAAAAAUAAUAUUUAUAUUUAUUAAAUUAUUAGUUUGUUUUUUUAUGAAUUUGAUUAUAACAAAAAAAAAAGAUAAAAAUACGAAAAUACACUUGGACAUGGUUAAAUAAGUUUUAUUUUAAAAAUAAUUAGGUUAUUUUAUUUUGCUUAAUGAACAAAAAUACCCUAGGAUAUCAAUUUAAAAAACAAAAUUGAUUGUAAGGAUAAUGUAAUUAACGUGCUUUAGAAAUAUAAUUAGAUCGCUUUGUCACCUAAACCUUGUAAAAAUAUCGUUUUACCCCAGGAGCUACUUAAUUGAUUUUUUUUAAAAGGGUAAAAUAAAUUGCUAUAGUAAAAACCUACUCAUUUUAGAUUUUUGUUAAUUAGUCGGUACGUUUUUUCUUUUUUUACCGUCAAGCGUCUCGUUCCUCAUGAAUUUUCAAUCGGCUAAAAAACUAUUUUUUAUCCCUCACCUUUUUUUUUUUUUUAAUUUUCCUUUUUAUGGGCUGGUUGGUAAAAUAAUAGAAAAAAAUUCGGUUAAAAAGGCAACAAAAAACCUUUUUUUUUUUUAUCAAUGGCUUCGGAAUAAAAAAUGGACAAAUUUUUUGUACCUUGAUAUCACAAACAUAUAGAAAAAGGAGAACAUGUCUUAAGAAUAUUUUGAUGAUUUUCUUUUUCAAUAAUUAAUUUAGGAUUACUAGCAAUAUUGUAAAAGAAGCUCAAGUUCCUGAAAACGUGUGAGAAAUAAUAUAGUAUCAUAUUGCCUGUUUAGAAAUCUCGCCUUUACAGGAAAGUAAAAUUUUUAAGACUUUUUUUUUUUUUUUUGGGUUUCACGGGGAGAUUUACCUUCCAUUGCAAAAUGAGGGAGAUGAAGUUCCCUGAUAUAUCACAUUCCCAAUACAACAUCAUCACCGCUGAUAUAUUUUACUAUUCUGAGUUGCUAAUGGAUGAAUUGAUUUGUUGAACUCUAGACAAUCCAUUAAAGCUUAAUCAGAACAUAAUUACUCUUAAGAAGUGAGAAAUUUCUCUGGAAUGUCACUUUAUAAAAUUUGAUUAGUGACAUGGAGGGCUGAAUAGGUAGAGAGAUCUCUCAAAAGCUGUACACAGUAGAAUCAACUGCGAUGAACAUCAAGUUUCUUGCUCUGCACAAGGAUGUAAAACAGACCAGAAGUAAUGAUGGUCAGAACAACAUCAAUCUGAGAAUUCAUGAAAAAGUUCUUCUAUUUUUGAUGGGGCAGAAGGCUAGAAAGGAUCACAUACAAAGCCACAUCCCGUGGUCCCAACAGAUAUAAAUCUCAACCUGUUCUCCAUUGCCAGUCGAGCUAUGGUCAAGUCGAUCUCUUUGCAAAGUGUUACCUCCUAAAUCUCCUUGGAUCUUGCCUUUUCUUCCUACAGUAUUCGGCAAGAUACUGUGACUACAUAUUGUAUAACUAGAUUGGCAUAAAACUCACAACUGUUAAACAUACAUUAGAAUUGGAACUAAGGCUACAAAGGAAAGGUGCACACGAAAAUGAGCUUGCGAACGUCUACGAAGCGCUUUAUGAACUCUAGGAUUAGAGAAGUGAAGUAGAGAAGAAUUUGUAAGAUUUUUCUGCAUUUUGAUACUAAGAUAAAUUGUGAUCUCUCAGAUCCCAUUUUUUCCAGAAGAAGAAGAGGUUUGGAGAGAAAAGAGACCGCAUGCUGAAUGGAUUAUAUUUCUUAUUAUGCUUCACUAAGAUGCAAAAAGGCUUUUAUCACCAAAACAAUUGAUUAUUCUCAUUCUCUCAUAAAUUAAAAUUGCCAGACACACUAAGAAAUGAGGAAAGCAUAUGAAAUUGGAGUAGUUCUCUCUUACAAGCAACAGAGCCAAUUCAUCUUUUAGAUGCCAACAUGACUUUACAUGGACACAAUUGUCUGUUGGCCUGUAUCUGGAUUAUAGUCCUAUAUGAAAAUAGGCUUGACUGUACAUGUAGUAACUGAAAAUCACACUUGGCCAGCUCAUCGAAAAAUAAGCAUAAAAUCUAAGCCAGCUUGCUUAGGAAAAAUUUCAGGAAAUAAUAAUAGCAGGAUGCACAAUUGCUUAGCUAAACAAAUUUACCUGGUCUCACCCUCAUCACUGAUCCCUACAGGAGUUUCUUUUUGCUCCCUUCCAAAUGCUACCUCGUCCAUGCUUUGGCCUUGUCGCCUAUACCUGCCUCCAGAUGCUAAAAAUCCAGGACAAGGCCUGUAAGCCUUUAUUGGCCACCAACCGAACCCCGGAACGGUUGCAAUCCCACCUUGAAUUCUUCCCUCUCCAUUGCAUCCCUUCUCUAUUUCCUCUCUCCCACAGCCCUUGCAACCACUGUAGAAAAAGAAUGUCCAUUAACCUCCUUCUCCAAGGCAAGCAAAAAGAGAGCAUUCUUGACUGAAAAUGUGUCAAAACACUCAAAAUCAUAGUCAUAUAUAACAUUCAUUAGAGUUUCUUCCAUGAGCAAAGCCUUAUAAACAUCUUUCACCAGCCCAAAGAAUUGAUCUCUUCUACUAAAAAUGGGAACUUCUGUCGACCCUUUUUGUGCAAUAGAAUCCCACCCUUCUCCAAAAAACAUAAACCCACAGUAAAUUAUUGGCGGGCAAUAUUAUAUGCUGUCUCACAAUGAGAUAGCAUGUAAUACAAGAACUGAAAUUCAUGCUUUACAGCUCCUUGUAACCCCCCUUUUGUACAGCUAACAAAUUCUCCCCAGUGCCACUUCUAUGUUGCCUCUCACAACAACAGUAUGGAUUGAGAAACUGAACAUUUUACAGGAAAAUUGAGCUGGACAUCUCAAGUACUAUAAUUUAUGAUAAACUUUGUGCUCACUAAAUAAAUGAAUGAUUAACAUGUGAGCUACUCUUCUAAGUUCCUCAUCCACAACUAUAACAUAUUACUAAUCGGUCGUUCAACUGAGCUAACCUAUCCCUUAAUUCUAGAAUUCUUGGAAACCAAACAAAUGGAAGUGCAUAGCUAAAGCAUUCAUAUAUAGCUCAACUGUAAAAAAAAGAAGAUAUGGGAAGUACCUAAGAGGGAGCUUGUCAACAUCUUCGGUGGUAGGAAGAGCAUCUGAUGAAGGAGGAGGGGGACCAUCCUCUACAACAGAAGUCGAAGAGGUAGAGGAAGAACAAAGAGGGAUUGUGAUGGGCUUAGAUGGGUACUUAAUGAGAGUUGUUGCAGAGCAAUGAAACCACGAGUUGCUGUAAGUAUAUGAGCGUCGAGUGCAAAUGGUUUGGCGAGGUGUUGGAACUGAGACAAGAGCUAUUGCCAUUCUCUCUCCCUAUCCUCUCUGUAAGUGGGGUGUGAGCGCGUGAAGGGAGAGGACUGAAUGGUAGCCACUAGCUUGCAGCAGUAUGGCUUCAAAUCCAACAACCACGUAUGUUUUGUGCCUGGCAAAAAGAAAUGGAAGAGGUAAAAAGGUUCCACCGAGAUUUGAACUCGGGUUACUGGAUUCAGAGUCCAAUGUCCUGACCACUAGACCAUGGAACCUUGUGCCAAUUCAAGCCCAAUUUUUAUAUUAUUAAUAUUAACCUAAGUUCACCCGCUUCAUUCUCUCUCCCUUUCUUUUGUUUUUUCACCGUUCUCAAGUUCUCAGGUUUGUGGCUGAUCGAGUGUCCAUUUUGCAUCCCAGAUGAUUAAUUUUUUAAUAUAUUAAAAAAAAGCCUAGUCGUUUAGGUCAGGUUCAAAAUGGACAAAAUUUUGUUCGUGAAUUCCCCUGUUUUCUCCUCAAGAAAAAAUAUAUUUUACAUAAAUUUCAAAAAAUAUUAGGCACACGUCACAAUAUAAAAGUCUUCAUCUUUGGUAGUACAACACUUAUUUCCUUCGCCUUCAAUUGUCAUCCUUUCCAAUAAUAGUUAUCCAGCUGCCCCAACUUUCUUGACCUCACCAGAGUCACCACCCUCUCUCACUGAUAACUAAUAACUAUCUCUUUAUCAUCUUCAUUGAUAGCACAGAUGAUGAUCAUCAACUCCUCCAUCAAUAAAAUGCCUCAUUUUCAUUGGUGACUAGAAAUUACUCUCCAUCCACGUGGUAAUUUGGCAUGAUUAAUGUUUAUAAAUUACUCAUAAUGUAUCAUCUCUGGACCCUGCCAGAACAGAAAUGCAUACCAUCUUGACUCAACUGGAAAACUAAAGGCAUAGCACAACAUCAAAUCUUCUCAUGCUGGCCUCAUGCGCACCACAAGGCAUAUGGUACAAUUGAAAAACAAGAAAAUAUAAAAUAAAAUAUUUGUAAACAUUAAGGCAGAAGGCAGAGGGGAUCCUUCUCAAAAAAGAGAGAAGAAAAAAAAAAGGGCAGAGGCUGAACGCAAGUAAAUAAAUCACUCAGCGGUCACUCAUCUCGCAAGUCAACACAGUUGACUUCCACAUCUUCUGGCAAUCCCACCGUUCAAAAACCUCCCCGCUUCAUGUUCGAGCACAGAAAGAUGAUCACGGGGCUCAUUUCCCAUUAUGUCCUUCAAUUACUUUCUCCAAUGGGUAUACUGUACAAAAAGCACUUUCCAAUCGAUGUAUGUAUAUGUUUAUCCGCGUCCAUGAAUGAAUUGAGCAAAAUAAUUACAGAACUAGAAACCGAGAGAAUAACAGGAUGGAGGAAAAAAAAUGACCUCUUUACCACAAAGCAACCAAAACUGAGGUUGGAAAACUGAAAGUGAAUUCAUAAAGAAACUUGCUCUUGCUAAUAAAUACCGCUAUUUUGCAACUAGUAUUUUAGUUACCACUUGGUUUCAUUCUUCUUUUCUCUUCAUUUAUGCAUGCAUAAUCUGCUGGUCCACCUCCCCGUCGAGGACCAUCACCGAACAGUGGUGAUGCACCAGGUGCCACCGUCCAUUGUGGAACUCAAAGACAUUAGUUACGUUGAAUGGCCCAUUGUCCAUCUCAACAACAUACAUUUUCAUGGUAACCCAAGCCAUGUCAGUCAGCACACGAGCCCUUACAUCACGAACCUGGAAGUCCAAUCCUUGCUCCCAAUUAAAUGCAAACUGCCAACUCUGUAUUACAGCGUUAUACCUGUGGGUCAAGUAUGACUCAGCUCUAAGUUCACUUCAAUAAAAAAUCAAAAACAAACGAGUUUUUAACACAGCAUACAAUGGUUUUACAGAAGUUGCAAAUCCAAGCAAGGCAGCAGUACAGGCAGCUACAGAAUGUCAUCACAUAACAAGUCUUACAUGAAGAUAUCAACUCUGGUCUAUUUUCUCCCUUUCGGGAAUAGAAUCUUCUGCUAUUACUUUCCAUUUAAAAAAAGACACCCAACAAUCCAAGGAACUUAAAUUGCCAAAUAUGACACAAUUACCAACAUAAAUUAUCUGAUUGCCAUUUCAUCAAGUUGGAAGCAACACCAUGAGAUUAAGGAAUAAAAAACCUAUGAGUCCCUCUCCUAAGAGUAAACCACCACCAAACAUAGUUUCAUUAAUUGAUAAACAUAAUACUGCAACCAGUGUACUUGUGACAGAGGUGAUUCACUCAUACUAUAUAAGAAGUCAUCCUCUAAGCAUCAAUCACUUCUUUCUAAUUUCCACAACAGCAGAAGUCACAAAGGAAAAUUAAUUUUGGGAUCUAAUAAAGUACUCAUUCCUAACAUUUAGUUAUUUUGAAAUUUAAUUUCCUACAUUCCUUAACAAAUAGGAAGACAGAACCUCACCCCUCAUCUGCUUUUCCAAUGUAUGCAAGUACUUCUCUAACAUUACAAAGUUGUUCAUAUUUACUCUACCAAGCAAAUUCUCCCCCAUCAAACAAAUUCUAAACAAGAUUCUCAUUGCCCAAGCUAGCAGAGCUAUUACUCCAUCACAUAAUGAAAACACACUAAACACACUUCUAAUUUCAUAAAUAAGAUAUGCAUCUUAAAAAUGCAUGCCUUUCAAUUCAAAACAUAAUUAUAUAAUGAUAGAAUUCAAAUCACCACUGUAUUUCCAUCCAGCAAUGUUUCAUCACGACCACACAAAUUGGCUACAAGACAAUCAUCAUCCUAUAUACAUCCUCCUUUGCUCCCCAAAUGCAUUAACCAGGAUAAAUGUCUUUAAAUUACAACAUCCUAGCUGUGAAAAAACAACAUCUAUUAGGAAGUCUUCAUGCCUAGUGUUUUUGCAAUUAACAGCAUGACUUGAGAACAAACAUCAAAGGGGCGUCACUAAAAAAAAACACUUAAUAUCACGUAAACCACAGUAUGUGCUGAAAACAGCAGGACUGUUGUAUGCAUUUUUAUUGUCGCUGCAGGAAAACAUAAAUUUAAUCUCAUUAGCUAAAGUUAAGUUUUAUAAUCAUACCCUGACAAAUUUUCCCCAGAUGCAUGGGUGCACUUCACAUAAUCUGCAUGAAGCCAUAAUUGACUCAUUGCUUGAAGAGAUCUUUCUCUAAUGAUGUUAAAGAAUUCUGUAUUGACAUUCACAAUGGCUCUUGUAGCCGCAUAGUACGCCUUCCACCCAUUAACAGGUGUCACACUAUCUUGUUCCAGUGUAAAAUCCUAACACAGGAAGCGCAAAAGAGAAAAAUUCAAUACACGCACCAAAACAGGAAAAACCGAGAGAAGUCAAAACUCAAAAGCAACUACUGAAAAUAGGAAGCAGAGAAAGAAAAUGCAUCUACAAGUUUGAAUCCACAUUUACAACCAAGUAAAUCCAUCAUAAUAAAGAGAAAUUUAAACUCAAGGACACCAAAGCAAAGGGAAAUAAAAAUGACACAGAAUAACUUUCAGAAUUCUAGGAAAGACUCAAGAAAUCCUAAAAAGAGAAAUGCUAACUUUGAAAAAUUUAAACCUUACAGCACUCCUAUACUGCCUUAUUAUCCAGGUUCAGGGAUUCUUAAACUAUAACUCUUCAACACCUACAUGUUUUACAAAAGAGAACUAAAGUUUAAUUCUCUGGAUUCUGCAAAAAGAGAAAAUGAAGUUCCGUGACAAAUAUGUUCUCACUUCCAAAAAAAAUAGUCUUAUAGUAUUUCCAUCGAGAAAGCCACCUAGUUUACAACACAUAAGAAGAUUCUGCAACUACUGGACCUUACAUUAUUACUGGUUAAUGGCGUCACGAUUAACACCCAUUCCCUAAUCCUCCAGAUUUCACAUUUUCCCCACAAUUAUCCAGAUUUAAAACAACUAAAAGCAACCAUAACACCAAAAUUUAACACAAUAAAACUCCAAAUUAAUAACAAAAACAAUAUUUCAGACUAAAAUACCUUGUAUUUCACAUUAAAAAAGAAUCUACAAUCAGUAAUAAAAUUAACCGAAACAUUAAAAUAAAUUCUCAAAAUAACAACAAAAACAAAACAAAUACCUUAUGAUAAAGCGCCUUCCACGCGUUAUCAUCAUUAGCAGCUUUCCGCAUUAGCGAAUUAGUCAUCGACAACCUACACAAACUCGGAUAGUCCAAAUAACUAAGCGCGUGUGUCGUAAUCUCCGGCACUAGCUGCUCCAUCAUCGACGCUCCGGUCUGCUUUUCCACCACCAUCUCCUCCGCCGCACCGCCACCGUUCAAGUACUUCUCCUCCGCCGUAAAAGAAUCCGCACUAUUAACACUUCCAAUUUCACCGUUACAGGAGCAGCAACACCUGCAGGUUAUCGUUUUGGUUGUUGAUGCUGCUGACGUGGAGGAAUGGACGGUGAGAUCCGGUUUGGGUGAUUUUGAUCGGAGAGUGAGGAAAGCGAGUAAGAGAGAGAGGAGAGUAACAGAUGAGGCUAUGAGGAAAGAUUGAGAGAGAGUGAAAUCGAAGGCAGUAAUCUCCAUUUACAAGACAUGAAAGCGAGUAAGAUUUCACAAAUGAAGAAGAACAUGAAACCCUAAUUUUGGAAAAAUCUGAGCCGUUUUAUUUGAGAGGGUGGUGUCGUUGUGUUUUCAGGGAAAGAAACCCUAGAACAAAAUUGAGUAGUCGAAAGUUUUUGUUGCAGACGAGAGGGGGGGAGUUUGUUGUGAGUUGUGACUCGUGACUCGUGUGAGUCAUAACUGACUGGAGAGGACUCCAACGUGCGGGAGUGGGUGUGUUACUAAUGGUAUAUCAGUAAAUAAUAGUAAAUUCAAAUAAUAUUUUUGUAUUUCUAUUUCCUGAUUGAUUUUUUUUGUCUUCGUGUUAAAACUUAAAGGGUAAUUUUUAAUUUAUCCUGUGAGGAUUUAGGGGCUUCUCAAUUUGUCCUGUUUGUAUCAAUUACUCCCUGAACUUUUAUCAAACUCUUACGUUUCUCCUUCUAUCCAUUAAACUAACUACCGGGAUUGAUGGUGCAGCAUAUUUUAUAUUUCAAUUGACUCCCUCAAGUUCAAGAGAAUCUCAAUCAGAUGUCUAUACUUCAAUCAUAUUAAAAUUCAUAAAUUCUUUCUUACCAGAAAUUGCAAGACACCCCAUAAAUGCUUAUUAUUCAUAAUAUAGAAUCCAAAAAUAAACACAAUUGCGAAAUCAAAGAUCAAAUAGGUUUAUUUUCUUUAUAUCAUUGUCUGAAAAAUAUCAUUAAAAUUAAAAUCCAGUUAUAAUUUGGAAAAAAAAAUAAUGUACUAGAAUGAUUAAUUGGGUUUUUCUAGCAUGUGCUCUUGAGGCACGCAUUAGUUAUAUGAUUUAUUGAUUUAUUUUCAUUACUGAGUAAAAUUUUAAUUCGUAAUCCCAUUUUGUUUGGUAUGGAAAUGAACACAUUGCAUAAUUGAUAUAGUUUUUAGACCCGGACUUAGUGGCCAGCCCGGUCCAAGACCAAGGUUUUGUUCAAGUCACCCGGGUCAAUUUUUUUUUAAAAAAAAUUAAAGCGACGUCGUUUUAGUAAAAAAAAAAACAAAAAUCAACGGGUUGCAACCAGGUUUUUAACUGGAUCUUGCCGAGUCACACCGGGUUUUUUCUUCAACCCGACCUGAUUUUAGCCCCGGGUCAAUCCGUCGGACCGGGUUUUAAAACUAUAACUUAUACGGUUAAUUGUUUUGUUUCCAUAAUCAGGUGACAUUUUAUUUUAGUCGUUAAUUCAAUGUUGCUAGAUAUGGAAAUUAAAUAAUUCAAAUUAAACCUAUUAGGAUGUGCCUUAAGGGAACAUGUUAGAAAAAGGCCUUGUUUUUUUUUUUUUUCCAAGAGAGCUAUAAUCUAAAAAGAUGGUAGCAGGCUAUCUUAAUUUAUUUAAAUUUUGUUUUUUUAUCAAGAAGCUAUGUUAACUUGGUAUGAGCUCAUUAUGUUUUUUUAUUAAAAUAUGCAAGAUUUAUAGGUCGAGUUUAUGUAUUUUUAUCAAUAUUUCUUUAUCUGUUAAAAGUUUGUGAAUUUGAGAAAUAUAAGAUAAAAUAAAACGUCAAUAACAAUUCUAUGUGUUUGGUAAUAUGAUACAAUAUGUUUUUUAAUAUUUUAUAUUGACUUAUUAAAAUCAUUGAAAAGUAUAAUAAUAUGAAUUUAAUUUUUUUUUUUAAAAAAAAUGUUAACCAUAAAAACAAAUACUCCCUAUAAAACAAAGUUGGUCAUGACUGAGGAAUGUGUGCUUAAAUGACCUUUUUUUUCUUAAUUUCAGGAGUCAAUUGAGAAAAACAAAUUGCCACGUCAUCAUUCCAUUAGUUUAACAAAUGAAGAUGGACGAAAGGUAAGAAUUGAAUCUUGAUGAGAGUUUAGGUGGGUAAUUAAUUCAACGGAAAGCUCCUCCAUUCUUUUUUUUUUUUUGUAAAAAAAAAAACUAAACCUCAGGAGGAUAUAUUAAAAUUCACCCUUUAAUUUUUUAUUUUAUUUUAUGUUUUGUAGAAUUUUUCUCCAAUGGGAUAGCUCACACCCUUUUCUCUCUCUUAUUGCAUCUUAGGAACUAAGUAAACAUUUAAACAUUUACAUUUAUAAAAAAUAAAGAAUUUAACAUCUUUUUGAAUUUGAAUCUAUAAUUAUAUGCAAUGGCAAGAUUUAUUGGACAUCUAGCUAAUUUCAUAAUAAAAUUCUACUAUGAUAUGCAACACAUCAUCAAUUGAUCCUAAAAUAUUUAUAAUCAUAAAAAAAUAGUUGUUAUAUAAAUAAAAUUAAUUUGCAUGGAAAAAAAUCAUGAAGAUCACGAUUAUGCGAGUGUCAAUUCAAAUAAUAAAAAAACUAUAUGAUAUAAUUAUAUAUAUAAUUUGUCUGAUAUAAUCAUUAAGGGCAAAAUAACUAAUUCAUUAGUUGUUUGUUGGAUGCGAUUAUACGUGAUGUAAUUUGCUUAGAGUUAAAAAUUAAAGGUAUCACUGUACAAAACAGAAUUAAGCCAGGAGGAUUAGUGGGCUUCUUUAUUUUUAAGAGAAAUCUGAAAAAUACUUUCCAAUUAUUGUAUUAUCAAUUUUGUCCCUAAACAAUUUUUUUGUAUAAAUUUUAUCCUUCAAGUUUCAGAAUUUCUCAAUUAAGUCUUUUCAUCUAUAUUUGAUCAUGAAUUUCAUCUAAAUUAUACCUCUUUUUAUAAGAAAAGAAUCGUCUCAUCUUGUAGGGAACUUAAAGGGUAAAUAAACCUUUUUAAAGAGUUCUAAUAGACCAUCACAAAUGUUUAUAUCAAUUUUGUCUCCAAACAUAUAUAUAUAUAUAUAUAUAUAUAUAAAAUGUUUGGAGACAAAAUUGAUGUAAACAUUUUUUUUUGGGGGAAAUUUGAUACUAGCUUAAUUUUUUAUUUAAGGGUUGAUUUAAAGUAUGAUGGCGUAGAACCUGUUUUGUUAUUUAAAAAAAAAGUUAUUUUAAAUUAUUUUUUUAUAUUUUUAUAUUAUUUUAAUGUACUGAUAUUUAAAAAUAAAAAAUUUAUUUAAAUAUAUUUAAAAAAAAACUUUAAAAAAUAAUUUCUGAUAAAAUUAUAUGUGGCGGCUAGUAAUUGAUGUUCUUAAUAUUAUGAAAACAAAGUGUUAGCAUUAUUAAGAGUGUAAAUAUUCACAUUUUUUUUUUUUUUAAAUAUGUUCAAGAUGUCCUGAAGUUACAUAUCCUGUGGCUGUGACUGAGCUUAUUUGUUUUUUUCAUGUUAAGAAUUUCCCGAUGCAUAUCAUCACUGCUUUUAAGAAGAAAAAAAUAUUAUAUUGUUUAUGCUCUGGGCUGCAUCCUUUCUCUUUACCUUCUCAUGUUAUCAUGCAUGGAAUUUGAAGAAACCAAAAGGAAAAAUGGCAAUAUUCUUCACUACCACACCUUCAUUCAAGAUUAAAACAAGACAGAGACAAUAACAACAUUCUUUACAUUCGUGUAAAAGCUACAGUUACAAGGAGGCCAAAGCCAAUUAUCAACAAAUGACCUGAUUUUCUAGAGCUACAAAAAACGAAGAACACCUACAGAAAAAGUUAUUGAAUGUCGUUGUAGUUCUUAUAAUAUCGCAACCCCGAAGCAUUACAUUAGCUGACUGCAAUGCUCUGGGGAAAAAUUCAAGCCACGACGAAGGGACUAGCUGGAGAGUAUUGUAAUGAAUAUUAUCAUGGUGCUGCUAACUAGUAUCAUCAUCCAACCUCUGCUGGUUCGGCAUGCCUUGUCCGAAUUUGAAGCUGCUCCUAAAUAUUUUGAAACUUUUGCAGAGAUUAGCAUGACAGUUGAAAAGCACAUGAAGAAAAGACUCAUGGCUAGCACAGCGAGUUCUUUACUUUCCAGAUUUGCCUGAUCAUUUGCAACCUUUUCGAUGUCCAAUCUGCUGAAAGGAAUGAAGGGGGGGGGGGGGACGGUAAAAUUUAUUAAACAAGAGUGAAAGCAACAUGAUAUUAGAAGUAGAGGAUCGGCAAAUCAUUGUAGAUUAUCAUCUAGAUGGUUAAACGACCUAAAGAUUACAUCAACAGGGAACAGCAUGGCAUGUAAAAGAAAAUGCUUGAUGUAUUUUUCAUCUAGGACAACUUGAAUAAAUGAGAGACAGCAGACAGUCAGGGAAUAUAAUAACCAAAAGUAUUUGAAAACGAAUUUUGACUAUA